GACCGAAAUGACGUGCUACGGAAUGGCAAAUAGCGAAAAUGAAUGGUGAAUAACUCUUUGCCAUUCGAAUGGAGAAUAUCCUCUGCCCUACAUGAAUGUUUAUUAUUUAAUAGGGUACCGGUAGAUUGUAAAUGUAGAUUCAUCGUUGAGCCAGCUGUUUCAUUUAAAUAAUUGGUUAAUACAGGUUUUUAUAUAUCUGCAUGAUGAGACUAAAUGUUUAAAGUAAAAAGUGUCAAAAUGGAUGUUGAUGAUCUCUAUUAUUAUGAUAUCAUCAUGGAUGGAUGGGAGAAAAAACACACAGAGGAAGCAAUUCCAUUUUAUGUUGAUCAUAAAAGUGAAAAGUCAAUUUGGGAUCAUCCAUAUCUUUUAAAGAUCUUUGAGGAACUUGAUGCUUAUAGUGAAAUGAGGUAUGCUGCUUAUCGUACAGCCAUUAAGAUGAGACAUCUACAAAAAAGACUUGGCUUACCUAUGGUAAGACUAACUGUGUUAAGAUCAGUAUUAGAAGAUCAUGGUUAUAAUCAUGGUAGUUUAUUAAAUAUUGAUUGUGAACAAUUAACCAUCCUACUAAGAGAUAUAUAUCAGACAUCAGAUCAUCGCCAUUUUGAUACAGUUAAAAUGGAGAAAUUUGUUGAUGUUACACUGAAUUUUUUACUUGGUUUAUAUGAUACGACAAGAAGAGGUUUUAUGAAAAUAUCAUCAGUAAAAACAGUAUUGGUAACAUUGUGUUCAGCUAGACUAUCUGAUAAAUAUAGAUUUUUCUAUAGUGAAAUCAGAGAUCCAAGUACUUUUGUUAGUGAAGAUAAUUUAGCACCAUUUAUUAAUGAUUUGAUACAGCUGCCAGAUAUGUUAAUAGAAAGUGAAGCAUUUGGUAAAAAUGUUAGUGCUGUUGUCAACAGUUGUUAUAAAUCGACAUCAAGUAAUACUGGUGUUAGUGAAGAUAUGUUUUAUCGUUGGUUAUUGAUGGAACCUCAGACAUUAGUAUGGUUACCUACUUUACAUAGAGUAGCUGCUACUGAAACAGUUAAACAUGAAGCAAAGUGCAAUAUAUGUAAAAGUUACCCAAUAGUUGGAUUUCGAUAUAGGUGUUUAAAGUGUUUUAAUUUUGAUAUGUGUCAGACAUGUUUUUUUACUGGUCAAGUACGUGGACGGCACAAACUAAAACAUCCUAUAGAAGAAUACUGUCUAAUGUCGGCCUUAAAGGAUGAUACAAAGGCCUUUCUCAAGACAGUGAGAAAUAAUUUAAGUAAAAAGCAUCAAAGGAAGAGUGAAAUAAAAUAUCUUCCAGUGGAGGGAUCACAAGAAAUGGGAGUAAGAUCAUGGGAACAGAGAUCAGUUCCAGAUGUUUCUAGAUUAAGUAGUGAUAUUAGUCAACAAUCACUAUUAUCAACAGCCAUCAUACAUUCACCUACAUCACAACCCAUACUAAAACUAAACCAAGCAGAUUUCGCUGUUCACGCAACACAACCAUGUCACAUUAACACGGAUAUACAAGUAACUGUGGCGUCAAAUAACAACUCUAACACAGAUCUUCUACAAAAACAAAGACAGGAGUUAGAGACGGUUAUAAAACAGCUUGAUGAAGAAAAAAGUUUACCCGUCUGCCCGAAAAGUCAGCUUGCCCGAAAGUUAGGGGGGCAGCUGCCCCCCCUGCUCCCCUGGCUUUUACGCCUAUGGUUUUCUUAGAGCCCAAAUCUUGGGAAUAUAGUUAUCUGAAGAUUUUGUUUACCAUCUUGCUAGUCUUCUUUAAAAAUCCCUUCUUUGGGGUUUUUAAUAAAGGUUUAAAAACUAAACGCCUUAGUUUUAUUGAGAAUUUACACUCCCCGGUUACAUUUUGGCGCCCAACGUUCUGAAGACAAGGUACCUACAGAGUUCCAAAGACCUAAAGAUUCGGGUUCGCGAGAUACAGCUGCUGUUUCAUCGGUGGAUCUUUAGAGACAUUAUUAUCAGUGUUAAUCUCAUACUUGUGUUUGUGAAAUUCUUUUGGACUUGUGCGGAAACUAUAUAUACAACUAGCUGAGUUAAAAGUUGAAGACCAGCAAAAACAAUCAUCUGAUACAGAGAGUAUUAUAUCUGUAGAUUUAACUUUACAACAUGAAAAUAAUCUCAUGAAAGCUAAGAAAGAAGUUGCAGACGACCAUAAUACACGAUUACGUCAUCAAUUAGACAGAGUUCAAAAAGUUCUGAAGGAAAAUCCACAUAAUUAUCAGGAAGAUGAUUAUUUAUGGAAGAACACUUGCCUGGAUAAAUAUAAAAUACAGAAUUGUUCAAUGUGUCAAUCACAACUAGAAACAGGUGAUGAAGAUCCUGAGAUUCGAGAUUUAUUACAAAGAAUAGAUGAUGUUUUUCCUAAAGAUAUGUCAUAUUCUGCAACAUGUGAUUCAUCUAUAUCCAAAUCAUUUCACAAUCAUAAUGAGAUGUUAGAAGCUGCUAAUGGUGUUGGUGAAGCUAUGUCUACGUUCGUACAGCUUACGGUUGAUGAUUAUUAUAGUGAUUAAAUAUAUAAUAUAGCAUAAUAAAAACAUAGGUUCACUUCACAA